rnacentral:rRNA from 1 species
UACGUAGGGCGCAAGCGUUGUCCGGAAUUAUUGGGCGUAAAGAGCUCGUAGGCGGUUUGUCGCGUCUGCUGUGAAAACUGGAGGCUCAACCUCCAGCCUGCAGUGGGUACGGGCAGACUAGAGUGCGGUAGGGGAGAUUGGAAUUCCUGGUGUAGCGGUGAAAUGCGCAGAUAUCAGGAGGAACACCGGUGGCGAAGGCGGGUCUCUGGGCCGAUACUGACGCUGAGGAGCGAAAGCGUGGGGAGCGAACAGG